rnacentral:rRNA from 1 species
UGGGCCUUGUUGCAAGUCGAGCGGAUGAUGGGAGCUUGCUCCCGGAUUCAGCGGCGGACGGGUGAGUAAUGCCUAGGAAUCUGCCUGGUAGUGGGGGACAACGUUUCGAAAGGAACGCUAAUACCGCAUACGUCCUACGGGAGAAAGCAGGGGACCUUCGGGCCUUGCGCUAUCAGAUGAGCCUAGGUCGGAUUAGCUAGUUGGUGGGGUAAAGGCCUACCAAGGCGACGAUCCGUAACUGGUCUGAGAGGAUGAUCAGUCACACUGGAACUGAGACACGGUCCAGACUCCUACGGGAGGCAGCAGUGGGGAAUAUUGGACAAUGGGCGAAAGCCUGAUCCAGCCAUGCCGCGUGUGUGAAGAAGGUCUUCGGAUUGUAAAGCACUUUAAGUUGGGAGGAAGGGCAGUAAGUUAAUACCUUGCUGUUUUGACGUUACCAACAGAAUAAGCACCGGCUAACUUCGUGCCAGCAGCCGCGGUAAUACGAAGGGUGCAAGCGUUAAUCGGAAUUACUGGGCGUAAAGCGCGCGUAGGUGGUUUGGUAAGGUGGAUGU